GCAUUUGCUUAGCAAAAUUUGCUUUGAAAACACUCCAUUUCCUAUUCAUACAGGCAUCUUUGCAAUCAAGUUUAACAUAUUAAUUCAAACAAAAAAAAGAUACAUAAACUUUAUGGUCUGUUUACAGAUUCCCACUCUCUUCUAACGAUGAUUCUGAGGCUGAAUCAUCCACUGUUGAAAUUGAGAUGGUGGUCUCACUAUCUGAAGUUCCGUUUGGCUUCUCUUCAACAGGUUGUUUCAAGAACCAGUACUUGAUGCUUGCUGUCAACGUAAGGAUCAUCUUCUGAUUCACCUGAAAAAAUUUUAACACCAUAUUGAAGUUCAUGGUUCAUUUCAGAAACGAAUAAGAAUUAUAGGAAAUAUCUUUCUGAAGCUCAAGUGCUACUGGGCAAGUAGGACAUGUUGGCAAGUGCUACUGAGACGUUUCAGUUAUAAAAUGGCAUCAACAUGGACAAAUAAUGUCUUCAAUGAUAAAUAAAUCAAAACACUCAUCAUCCACGCAUGUUUAGGUUCAAAAAGGCUGUGGAUGCGGAUCGGAUAUCACAAUAAACAGAAUACAAUGCAAAAUGUUGUUAAUGGACAAGUACCUCUGUUAUGUCUUCAGGAAGCAAAAAUAUUGAGCAUCCUAGCUUUCUUGCUAUACUUAUGAUGUAGGUGGCAUUCAUCUUUUUCUCCUCAUCUGCAUUGCUCUCAAGUUUAGUGGAAAAGAAUAUAAUAAAUAAUAUACGAACUAAGAAAAUUAUCUAAAAUGUGGUGUUAGUAGAUAUAGUAGUCAAGAUCACACGGAAACUUCAGUCGCAUGAUAUUAGAAGAGAACAAAUACCAGUUACUCCUUUUGUGACAAGACUCCAAUUUACUGCUCUGGGCUGAACAGCACUGAGAAGAUCAAGGAAAAAAAUGCCAUCUGACAAACUUUUAUCCUUAAAACUGUCCAUGCGACUCUGACUUCCUGCAUCACGCACUUUGGUGUUGGCCCAUUUUAAAAUAUCAGCAUCAGUGAUUUCCUUUCCAUGAGAGUGGAAUCUCAAAUUCUUUAGAAGUUGGAGGAUGUUAUAUCUCAUCAACUGCCACAGAUAAGCCAAUAUUAAUUUUUUAUUUCCUUGCACAAUGUCAUUUCCAGCAAUGUUAACCAGGGAAAAUUUUAACUGCUUUCCUAUUUUUACAACUAGGUUGCAGUUUUCUACUUUUCUGAAUGGCAACUUGAUUGGAGGCUUAUUUGCAAUCUUCCAAUUAACAAUCCCCGGUGACACCUUGUCAAGGGUCUCCAGAAGUACCCACCCAUUCCUGAGAUCUUCGAAGACAUUGUCAAUAUAGGUUGAAUUCCCAAGACUAUUCAUCCAAAAUCGAAAUGCUCUUUCCUCUCUAGAGAUUUGUGUGUCAUCAGGCAAUGUCUCGAGAAAAGAUAUCUGUUUAGUUUGGGUAGACAGCCCAUUCCUAUGCUGGAAAAUAUGUGCAACAAAGGCAAGGUUGAGAUUUGGUGAACCUUCAACAAUGUCCUUUGCAGUUAAAUAUCUCUUGCAACCCAUUCUAUCUGCAUGUUCAAGAACUAACUUUGCUCUUUCUAGAUGACUUUUCAUGGUCAAUGUAGAUGGAUUACUAUACUCUGGUGCAAGGACGUUUAGAAGGUGAGCAUAAGCCUCCGCAUCCUUCACAUCAGAAGAGAAAUUUGUGACUAUUUUCUUGUAUCCAGCUUUCUUCAACUGGAAAUUCAUCCAUCUUAAUAAGAUCUUCUCUGGUGGUAGACUCAUCAACUCUUCCACAUCCUUACUGUCAUCAACCAACUCCACCAACUGAGGUGUUUUCUUCAGAUUGAGGUCAGCCAAGAGUUGUAUCUUAAUGAUUUGAGAAAUCAAUCCAAGCACAAGAUGGCGCCUUCCUUCAAUGAAGUCUUGGGUUCCAAUAUUGACAACAGUACAUCCAAUAGCCUUAGCAGAGUUGAGACAGAGUGUAUGGUUUUCAUUCCUUUCCCAUGGAUUGAGUACUCUCUUCGUAUUAAUAGCCCUUUCAUCAAUUGUUCCAGGCACUGCCACAUUGAUAAGCUUGCAAAGAAGGACUCCAUCCUUUGCAAUCUCAAAGAGAUCAUUGGUCGAAGGAUCAAUAGGGAGGUAUUUCUUUAAGAAUUGAUCUUCUCCUAGGUAGUUAUUGAUAUGAGCAACAUAGGAUGCCUUCUCGGGUUCACUGAUGGUGUGAAGCAAUGUAGUGGUGGCGGCUUUAAGGAAUGCAGAUGAGUUCUUUGCAACACUUCCUGUUCUUGCACUUGCAUGUGCAUGAAGUUUCAAAUAUACCUUCAAAAAGAACUCGAAAUCAACCUCAUCGUCUAGAUUUUGAUACAAAUCUUGAAUAAAUGAAGCUCUUUCUUCCUCUGUGAGAUUCUCUCCCACUACCUUCAACCUGGACAUCCUUGAAGCCAAGUCUCUGAGCGUAAGCUUCCCACUCUCCCUUCUCAUGCUCAUAAAAUGAGAUUUUAAGCUGCGAAGCUCGACCUGAGUGAACUGGUUUUGGAGCGAUGGAUCCGAUACAAGAAUCCCAACGUAACCUGACAUUUUACUUGCUUUUUCUUCAAAUUUAAACCUGAUUCAAUUCUUGUUCUAAUCAAAACUACAAAGAAAGAGAGAAAGAUUUGUUCCUCUUCCUCUCUUUCCUUACGUUUUAGCUUUCUCAACCAGAGAAUUUCUUCCUUUUCUGCUCCCUAUCUCUCUCUAAUAACAGUGUGUUUUGGUGUUUCUUUAAGCUUCCCUGUGUGUGAGUUCAGUUUGGAGGGGACGGGGUGGGAGCUGUCAG
rnacentral:misc_RNA from 1 species